GUGGCCCAGUGGUUAAGCAUUUGGCUGCUAACCAAAAGACUGGAGGUUCAAACCCACCC
rnacentral:tRNA from 1 species